rnacentral:rRNA from 1 species
UACGGAGGGGACUAGCGUUGUUCGGAAUUACUGGGCGUAAAGCGCACGUAGGCGGAUUUGUGAAGUCAGGGGUGAAAUCCCGGAGCUCAACUUCGGAACUGCCUCUGAUACAGCACGUCUUGAGUCCGAUAGAGGUGGGUGGAAUUCCUAGUGUAGAGGUGAAAUUCGUAGAUAUUAGGAAGAACACCGGUGGCGAAGGCGGCCCACUGGAUCGGUACUGACGCUGAGGUGCGAAAGCGUGGGGAGCAAACAGG